AAUCAAACAAAAAGGUUAAAUUAAAAUGCAGAUACUUGUCUUGUUCAACUUGGAAUACAAAGUGUUUGGAUAAAUCAGGAGAAUGUGAUAUACUAAAAGUCUAAUGCAUUUCCUUAAGUAAGAAAAAGAAACUUCAUUGGCCAAAUUGUUAAUUGCAAAAAUUGUUGUUAAAAUUUGCAUACCAACAGUCUUUGGAAGCAAAGACAUGAAAAGUUAACCCACUCCCCAUAUUGUACAUGGGAUCCUUCUGGCUACCUCAGAUUUCUAGCCAGAGGGCUGGGGAUGGUGGGAAGCUAUUGGACUAGAGGUUGUAUUGAGUGAACUCCUCAAAGUGGGUGUGCUUGUCCUGGCUUGUUGCUCGAAAGCUCUGUAAUAAGGUUAUUUUAGUAAAAGGUUAUGUGUGGCAUAUAUUGAAUAAUAAGACUAAUGUACUGUAUAAUGACAAUGUGUAGGUGUUCAUUGUUGGGAAAAAGGUGUAUAAGUAAAAAGUGAAAGUUUCCUUUGCAGGUUAAAAGAAGCCAGGAAGGAAAGAAGGACAAAGAACAAAAUGAAUUAACUGAAAAAAAUAAAAUCAAAUAAAAUAAAAUAGCAAGCUCAGGCUAUAGAUAAGACACUGACUCCAUUCAAGGACACUGCUCACAGUUAAGACUUGGUUAACAACCAGGAAAAGGAGAGCUUGAAUUUGCCCAUGCAGCUAUGAGAUCUGAAAAACACUGCCAGGCACUAAUGAAAUGUGUUAAGUUUCUUUUCUCACAGGU